rnacentral:sRNA from 1 species
UAUUAGCUUUGUCCAUCGUUAGGUGGU